CGGCGGCGUGCUUACCAUGCAGUCGAGCGGUAAGGCCCUUCGGGGUACACGAGCGGCGAACGGGUGAGUAACACGUGGGUAACCUGCCCUGUACUCUGGGAUAAGCCUUGGAAACGAGGUCUAAUACCGGAUAUGACACCGAUCCGCAUGGUUUGGUGUGGAAAGUUCCGGCGGUACAGGAUGGACCCGCGGCCUAUCAGCUUGUUGGUGGGGUAAUGGCCUACCAAGGCGACGACGGGUAGCCGGCCUGAGAGGGUGAUCGGCCACACUGGGACUGAGACACGGCCCAGACUCCUACGGGAGGCAGCAGUGGGGAAUAUUGCACAAUGGGCGAAAGCCUGAUGCAGCGACGCCGCGUGAGGGAUGACGGCCUUCGGGUUGUAAACCUCUUUCAGCAGGGACGAAGCGCAAGUGACGGUACCUGCAGAAGAAGCACCGGCUAACUACGUGCCAGCAGCCGCGGUAAUACGUAGGGUGCGAGCGUUGUCCGGAAUUAUUGGGCGUAAAGAGCUCGUAGGCGGUUUGUCGCGUCGGCCGUGAAAACUUGGGGCUUAACUCCAAGCUUGCGGUCGAUACGGGCAGACUUGAGUUCGGCAGGGGAGACUGGAAUUCCUGGUGUAGCGGUGAAAUGCGCAGAUAUCAGGAGGAACACCGGUGGCGAAGGCGGGUCUCUGGGCCGAUACUGACGCUGAGGAGCGAAAGCGUGGGGAGCGAACAGGAUUAGAUACCCUGGUAGUCCACGCCGUAAACGGUGGGUGCUAGGUGUGGGGGGCUUCCACGCCCUCUGUGCCGCAGCUAACGCAUUAAGCACCCCGCCUGGGGAGUACGGCCGCAAGGCUAAAACUCAAAGGAAUUGACGGGGCCCGCACAAGCGGCGGAGCAUGUGGAUUAAUUCGAUGCAACGCGAAGAACCUUACCUGGGCUUGACAUGGACUAGAAAGCUCUAGAGAUAGAGCCUCCCUUGUGGCUGGUUCACAGUGGUGCAUGGCUGUCGUCAGCUCGUGUCGUGAGAUUUUGGGUUAGUCCCGCAACGAGCGCAACCCUCGUUCCAU
rnacentral:rRNA from 1 species